AUUAAAUAAGAAAUAUAUCAUUAACCUAUAAAUUAGAAGUUGAAGAGCUUACAUUAAUUAUUUAAUAGACACAUGUCAAAUGCUAAAGUGAUGAUGUGUCAAUCAUAUGAAGAGAGUUGGCCAACUUUCAUAUAUAUGAUUCUUAGUUUCGUACCAAUUAGUUUCUCAAUUCAGUGCAUGUGUAGUCAAAUGUCCAAAAGAUUGUUUCU
rnacentral:sRNA from 1 species